UACGUAGGGGGCUAGCGUUGUCCGGAUUUAUUGGGCGUAAAGAGCGUGUAGGCGGCCAUGUAGGUCCGGUGUGAAAACUCGAGGCUUAACCUCGAGAUGUCAUCGGAAACCAUUUGGCUAGAGUCCGGAAGAGGAGAGUGGAAUUCCUGGUGUAGCGGUGAAAUGCGCAGAUAUCAGGAGGAACACCAAUGGCGAAGGCAGCUCGCUGGGACGGUACUGACGCUGAGACGCGAAACGUGGGGAGCAAACAGG
rnacentral:rRNA from 1 species